rnacentral:rRNA from 1 species
CAUUAGAGAUUCGUGGCGCAAGCCACAACCCACACACACACCGUGAACCGUGGGCCUCGGCCCCAUUACAAACUAUUGUUGUAUCAGAACGUGAAACAUAUGUAACAAUGAAAAAACUUUCAACAACGGAUCUCUUGGCUCUCGCAUCGAUGAAGAACGCAGGCGAAAUGCGAUAAGUAAUGUGAAUUGCAGAAUUCAGUGAAUCAUCGAAUCUUUGAACGCACCUUGCGCCCUCUGGUAUUCCGGAGGGCAUGCCUGUUUGAGUGUCAUGAAGACUUCAACCCCUCGGGUUUUUCCCGGGGAGGCUGGACUUGGGCGCUGCCAUUCACUUGGCUCGCCUCAAAUGCGUCAGUGGUGAUCAGACCAAUGACCGGAGUAAUAAGUUUCUCUGGCCUGUCGGUCGACGAUGGCUGCUCAUAACCCGCCCUCGGGCAUCUAUGACUCUGACCUCAAAUCAGGUAGGACUACCC